rnacentral:rRNA from 1 species
UACGGGGGGGGCAAGCGUUGUUCGGAAUUACUGGGCGUAAAGGGCUCGUAGGCGGCCAACUAAGUCAGACGUGAAAUCCCCAGGCUCAACCUGGGAACUGCGUCUGAUACUGGAUGGCUUGAAUCCGGGAGAGGGAUGCAGAAUUCCAGGUGUAGCGGUGAAAUGCGUAGAUAUUGGGAGGAACACCAGUGGCGAAGGCGGCUCACUGGACCGGUACUGACGCUGAGGCGCGAAAGCGUGGGGAGCAAACAGG